GACGAACGCUGGCGGCGUGCCUAAUACAUGCAAGUAGAACGCAGUUGCGCACGGGUGAGUAACGCGUAGGUAACUGCCUCAUAGCGGGGGAUAACUAUUGGAAACGAUAGCUAAUACCGCAUACUGUGAGAUGGACCUGCGUUGUAUUAGGUAGUUGGUGAGGUAAAGGCUCACCCAGGCGACGAUACAUAGCCGACCUGAGAGGGGGGUCGGCCAAAAUGGGAAUGGGAACAGGGCCAGACCCCUAAGGGAGGCAGCAGGUGGGAAUCUUCGGCAAUGGACGGAAGUCUGACCGAGGCAAGCCGCGGGAGAGAAGGAGGGUUUCGGAUCGUAAAGCUCUGUUGUUAGAGAAGCGGUAACUACCCAAAAAGGAACGGCUAACUACGUGCCAGCAGCCGCGGUAAUAC
rnacentral:rRNA from 1 species